rnacentral:miRNA from 1 species
AUAUACACAAUAUAUGUAUAUAUGUAUACACACAUUAUAUAUGUAUAUAUAUGUAUGUGUGUGUGUAUAUAUAUAUGUGUGUGUGUGUAUA